rnacentral:rRNA from 1 species
GACGAACCGUGCGAACGUUGUUCGGAAUCACUGGGCGUAAAGGGCGCGCAGGUGGCGGUGUUGGCCCGGCGUGAAAGCCCCCGGCUCAACCGGGGAGGGUCGUCGGGGACCGCACGCUUGAGGGCGGUAGGGCUGGUGGAAUGCCUGGUGUAGUGGUGAAAUGCGUAGAGAUCAGGCGGAACACCCGUAGCGAAGGCGGCCAGCUGGGCCGUCCCUGACACUCGAGGCGCGAAGGCGUGGGGAGCGAACGGG